UGGGGAAUAUUGGGCAAUGGGCGAAAGCCUGACCCAGCAACGCCGCGUGAAGGAAGAAGGCUUUCGGGUUGUAAACUUCUUUUAUGUGGGACGAAAAAAAUGACGGUACCAUAUGAAUAAGCUCCGGCUAACUACGUGCCAGCAGCCGCGGUAAUACGUAGGGAGCAAGCGUUGUCCGGAUUUACUGGGUGUAAAGGGCGCGUAGGCGGGAUAACAAGUCAGGUGUGAAAUCCGGGGGCUCAACCCUCGAACUGCACUUGAAACUGUUAUUCUUGAGUGAUGGAGAGGCAAGUGGAAUUCCUAGUGUAGCGGUGAAAUGCGUAGAUAUUAGGAGGAACACCAGUGGCGAAGGCGACUUGCUGGACAUUAACUGACGCUGAGGCGCGAAAGCGUGGGGAGCAAACAGG
rnacentral:rRNA from 1 species